rnacentral:rRNA from 1 species
GUAGGUGGCAUGCGUUGUCCGGAAUUAUUGGGCGUAAAGCGCGCGCAGGCGGUUCUUUAAGUCUGAUGUGAAAGCCCACGGCUCAACCGUGGAGGGUCAUUGGAAACUGGAGAACUUGAGUACAGAAGAGGAAAGCGGAAUUCCACGUGUAGCGGUGAAAUGCGUAGAGAUGUGGAGGAACACCAGUGGCGAAGGCGGCUUUCUGGUCUGUAACUGACGCUGAGGCGCGAAAGCGUGGGGGGAGCAAACAGGAUUAGAUACCCUGGUGGUCCACGCCGUAAACGAUGAGUGCUAAGUGUUAGGGGGUUUCCGCCCCUUAGUGCUGCAGCUAACGCAUUAAGCACUCCGCCCUGGGAGUACGACCGCAAGGUUG